AAACACUGCUGGAACAACCUUUAGUUGAAGAGGCAACUUUCAGUAGAAGCAGGGCUUACAAUUGAGAGAGCUGUGCUCUCUUAUAGCAUAGUCGGAGCUUUGCACAAGGCUUUACCUUGGACAAGGUCAGUGCUGACAUCACGACAAGUUCCCGUCACAAAGAUUUCUGUGAAUUGUUGCUUGCCAAGGCUUCCAGGGACAUAUUUAUUGCAUCAGUCAAUGCAUAACACAACACAUUAUUGUUUCUGAAAGAAGGAUAGGGGUCAUUGCCAAACCUGCACAAUUCUGAAACUUAGUGACAUCGCAUUUGGGUGAUACCAAAUUAAGCCAAUCAAAAAAGAUUACAUAAUAGUUUUGAAACUUUCAAGUUCUCCAGAACUCUUCAUCAGAUUAGAAGGUAAGGUUCGGGUGGGGGGAAGGUUUAGCUGAUAUUGAAGCUAUGCAUGGAGGUUUUUAGCCACAGUCUUAAGAUGGAAUGUGGGAGGAAGUAAUGGGGAACAUUCAAAAUAGAUUCUGUUCAGUUUUUCCCCUGCGUUUUUGUUGGGUAUAAUUGGAGAAGAAAUUCUAAAAAAAGACAUAAAUAUAUUUAUGUACACUACCACAGCUGCGAGGACACUUUUAGCCCAGAAAUGGAAGCAGCAGGAACUUCCAACGUUGGAAGAAUGGCAGACUGAAAUGACUGAAUAUGCAGAACUGGCAAAGCUGACGGGGAAGAUCUGAAACCAGCAUAACGAGCUGUUCAAAAAGAACUGGAAUAAAUUUAUACAAUAUGAGAGAA